UAGUCCACGCCGUAAACGAUGGUCACUAGCUGUUUGGACUUCGGUCUGAGUGGCUAAGCGAAAGUGAUAAGUGACCCACCUGGGGAGUACGUUCGCAAGAAUGAAACUCAAAGGAAUUGACGGGGGCCCGCACAAGCGGUGGAGCAUGUGGUUUAAUUCGAUAAUACGCGAGGAACCUUACCAGGGCUUAAAUGUAAGUUGACAGGGGUGGAAACUACCUUUUUCUUCGGACAAUUUACAAGGUGCUGCAUGGUUGUCGUCAGCUCGUGCCGUGAGGUGUCAGGUUAAGUCCUAUAACGAGCGCAACCCCUGUUGUUAGUUGCCAGCGAUUCAAGUCGGGAACUCUAACAAGACUGCCGGUGCAAACCGUGAGGAAGGUGGGGAUGACGUCAAAUCAUCACGGCCCUUACGUCCUGGGCUACACACGUGCUACAAUGGCCGGUACAGAGAGCAGCCACUACGCGAGUAGGGGCGAAUCUACAAAACCGGUCUCAGUUCGGAUCGGAGUCUGCAACUCGACU
rnacentral:rRNA from 1 species